UGCAUAUAUGUCCAUACACGUCUUUAUCAUGCAUCAUUCCUUUUUAUAUUCUUCUCUAAAAUCUUGUCUCCUUUUUAUGUACCUCUCACUUUGAAUUAAAGAAAACAAAAGAAAUGCACACCAAUAUGUCUGAAAUCUCAUUAUCUUCCUCUUCUCCAUGUUCAUGGCAAGAUGAAACUGCAAUGAUUUCCUCUCCAUUGAAAAUUCAGUUGGUAUCUAAGUCAGUAUCAGAAAGGCUGCUCUCAAAGUUUUCUGAUUUAUCAGAGUUUGAUUUUGAUUAUUCAAAGAGUGGUUUGUGGUCUCCUCCAAUUCAAAGAAGUCAUGUGUUGUUGAGCUCACCAGCUGCCCAAAUUCUUUCACACAGAGAAAUGACUGCUAAGUUAAAUAAAGUCUUGAAAAGACAUCAAAUAAGAAGGCGUUGCUUCAUUGCGUGCUUAUGUUCUCCAAAGAGAUUUUGAUCUCAAUGUCACAAGAAGUGAUCCUGCGAGGUCUUUGAUUUAUAGAGUUUAAGAAAAUGCAAUGAGGGUCUCUAAUUUCUAACUAUUGUCCAAUUUAAAAUGUACAUGCGUUUAUGUAAUUAUUUAUUAAAUAGAUGAAUGGUUAACUUUUCAAUGUCGUUGCUUAA